rnacentral:rRNA from 1 species
UACGAAGGGGGCUAGCGUUGCUCGGAAUUACUGGGCGUAAAGCGCACGUAGGCGGCUUUCUAAGUCGGGGGUGAAAUCCUGGAGCUCAACUCCAGAACUGCCUUCGAUACUGGAGAGCUUGAGUCCGGGAGAGGUGAGUGGAACUGCGAGUGUAGAGGUGAAAUUCGUAGAUAUUCGCAAGAACACCAGUGGCGAAGGCGGCUCACUGGUCCGGUACUGACGCUGAGGUGCGAAAGCGUGGGGAGCAAACAGG